UAGGGAAUAUUGGACAAUGGAGGCAACUCUGAUCCAGCCAUGCCGCGUGAAGGAUGACGGUCCUACGGAUUGUAAACUUCUUUUAUCAGGGAAGAACCCUGGGGAUUCAUCCCCAACUGACGGUACCUGAUGAAUAAGCACCGGCUAACUCCGUGCCAGCAGCCGCGGUAAUACGGGGGGUGCAAGCGUUAUCCGGAUUCACUGGGUUUAAAGGGUACGUAGGCGGACUAGUAAGUCAGUGGUGAAAUCCUGCAGCUAAACUGUAGAACUGCCAUUGAAACUGCUAGUCUUGAGUUCGGUUGAUGUGGACGGAAUGUAGCAUGUAGCGGUGAAAUGCUUAGAUAUGCUACAGAACACCGAUUGCGAAGGCAGUUCACAAACCCGAUACUGACGCUGAGGUACGAAAGCGUGGGGAGCGAACAGG
rnacentral:rRNA from 1 species